rnacentral:rRNA from 1 species
GAUGAACGCUGGCGGCGUGCCUAAUACAUGCCAGUCGAGCGAACGGACGAGAAGCUUGCUUCUCUGAUGUUAGCGGCGGACGGGUGAGUAACACGUGGAUAACCUACCUAUAAGACUGGGAUAACUUCGGGAAACCGGAGCUAAUACCGGAUAAUAUUUUGAACCGCAUGGUUCAAAAGUGAAGGACGGUCUUGCUGUCACUUAUAGAUGGAUCCGCGCUGCAUUAGCUAGUUGGUAAGGUAACGGCUUACCAAGGCAACGAUGCAUAGCCGACCUGAGAGGGUGAUCGGCCACACUGGAACUGAGACACGGUCCAGACUCCUACGGGAGGCAGCAGUAGGGAAUCUUCCGCAAUGGGCGAAAGCCUGACGGAGCAACGCCGCGUGAGUGAUGAAGGUCUUCGGAUCGUAAAACUCUGUUAUUAGGGAAGAACAUAUGUGUAAGUAACUGUGCACAUCUUGACGGUACCUAAUCAGAAAGCCACGGCUAACUACGUG